rnacentral:rRNA from 1 species
AAAUUGAAGAGUUUGAUCAUGGCUCAGAUUGAACGCUGGCGGCAGGCCUAACACAUGCAAGUCGAGCGGAAACGGCAGCAUUGAAGCUUCGGUGGAUUUGCUGGACGUCGAGCGGCGGACGGGUGAGUAACGGCUGGGAACCUGCCCUGACGAGGGGGAUAACCGUUGGAAACGACGGCUAAUACCGCAUAAUGUCUUAGUUCAUUACGAGCUGGGACCAAAGGUGGCCUCUACAUGUAAGCUAUCGCGUUGGGAUGGGCCCAGUUAGGAUUAGCUAGUUGGUAAGGUAAUGGCUUACCAAGGCAACGAUCCUUAGCUGGUUUGAGAGGAUGAUCAGCCACACUGGGACUGAGACACGGCCCAGACUCCUACGGGAGGCAGCAGUGGGGAAUAUUGCACAAUGGGGGAGACCCUGAUGCAGCCAUGCCGCGUGUGUGAAGAAGGCCUUCGGGUUGUAAAGCACUUUCAGCAGUGAGGAAGGUGGUGUACUUAAUACGUGCAUUGCUUGACGUUAGCUGCAGAAGAAGCACCGGCUAACUCCGUGCCAGCAGCCGCGGUAAUACGGAGGGUGCGAGCGUUAAUCGGAAUUACUGGGCGUAAAGCGCAUGCAGGCGGUUUGUUAAGUCAGAUGUGAAAGCCCGGGGCUCAACCUCGGAACCGCAUUUGAAACUGGCAGGCUAGAGUCUUGUAGAGGGGGGUAGAAUUUCAGGUGUAGCGGUGAAAUGCGUAGAGAUCUGAAGGAAUACCAGUGGCGAAGGCGGCCCCCUGGACAAAGACUGACGCUCAGAUGCGAAAGCGUGGGUAGCAAACAGGAUUAGAUACCCUGGUAGUCCACGCCGUAAACGCUGUCUACUUGGAGGUUGAGGUUUAAGACUUUGGCUUUCGGCGCUAACGCAUUAAGUAGACCGCCUGGGGAGUACGGCCGCAAGGUUAAAACUCAAAUGAAUUGACGGGGGCCCGCACAAGCGGUGGAGCAUGUGGUUUAAUUCGAUGCAACGCGAAGAACCUUACCUACUCUUGACAUCCAGCGAAUCCUUUAGAGAUAGAGGAGUGCCUUCGGGAGCGCUGAGACAGGUGCUGCAUGGCUGUCGUCAGCUCGUGUUGUGAAAUGUUGGGUUAAGUCCCGCAACGAGCGCAACCCUUAUCCUUGUUUGCCAGCACGUAAUGGUGGGAACUCCAGGGAGACUGCCGGUGAUAAACCGGAGGAAGGUGGGGACGACGUCAAGUCAUCAUGGCCCUUACGAGUAGGGCUACACACGUGCUACAAUGGCAGAUACAGAGGGCAGCGAAGCUGCGAAGUGGAGCGAAUCCCUUAAAGUCUGUCGUAGUCCGGAUUGGAGUCUGCAACUCGACUCCAUGAAGUCGGAAUCGCUAGUAAUCGUGGAUCAGAAUGCCACGGUGAAUACGUUCCCGGGCCUUGUACACACCGCCCGUCACACCAUGGGAGUGGGCUGCACCAGAAGUAGAUAGCUUAACCUUCGGGAGGGCGUUUACCACGGUGUGGUUCAUGACUGGGGUGAAGUCGUAACAAGGUAGCCCUAGGGGAACCUGGGGCUGGAUCACCUCCUUA